GCAAGACUCUACUAAUCCCGCCGCCGCCGCCGGGCCUCGACCACACGUCCUCCUUAAACGUGCCGACGCCGUCCGCGGCGGCGAUGGCCUCACACACAGUGUCCUGCGCCUCCCGUAUCAUCUUCUCGAACCGCGCGCGGACGGAGGUCGGCGACGACGACUCGCGGAGGAAAGUCUCGGGCUUUUCCGUCUCCGGCGUCUCCUUCUCGAUGACGGCGCAUCGGGGAGUGAAAGAGGGGGAGUGGCGGAGGCGCGUGAAGGGCGUGUAGCGCGUGGAGGAGUGGAAGGAGUGGGGAUUGGGGAGGAAGGAAGAGAGCUUUGGAGGUGGGGAGAGGAGG
rnacentral:lncRNA from 1 species